CGGGAACGUCGGGACUGGAGC
rnacentral:miRNA from 2 species